GACGAACGCUGGCGGCGUGCUUAACACAUGCAAGUCGAACGGAAAGGCCCUGCUUUUGUGGGGUGCUCGAGUGGCGAACGGGUGAGUAACACGUGAGUAACCUGCCCUUGACUUUGGGAUAACUUCAGGAAACUGGGGCUCAUACCGGAUAGGAGCUCCUGCUGCAUGUUGGGGGUUGGAAAGUUUCGGCGGUUGGGGAUGGACUCGCGGCUUAUCAGCUUGUUGGUGGGGUAGUGGCUUACGAAGCCUGUGACGGGUAGCCGGCCUGAGAGGGUGACCGGGCUCAUGAGGACUGAGAUACGGAGCAGACUCCUACGUGAGGCAGCAGUGGGAAGUAUGGCACAAUGGGCGGGAGCCUGAGACGGCGACGCCGCGUGCGGAAUGACGUGCUUCGGGUUGUAAACCGCUUUCGCCUGAGACGAAGCGUGAGUGACGGUAAUGGGUAAAGAAGCACCGGCUAACUACGUG
rnacentral:rRNA from 1 species